UACGUAGGGGCCGAGCGUUGUCCGGAGUUACUGGGCGUAAAGCGCGCGCAGGCGGCGGUCUGCAGCCCGGCGUGAAAGCCCCCGGCUCAACCGGGGAGGGUCGUCGGGAACGGGAUCGCUUGAGGACGGCAGGGGCAGGUGGAAUUCCCGGUGUAGUGGUGAAAUGCGUAGAUAUCGGGAGGAACACCAGUGGCGAAGGCGACUUCCUGGCCUGUUCUUGACGCUGAGGCGCGAAAGCUAGGGGAGCAAACGGG
rnacentral:rRNA from 1 species